rnacentral:rRNA from 1 species
GGGGUGCUGAGUGGCGAACGGGUGAGUAACACGUGAGUAACCUGCCCUUGACUUUGGGAUAACUUCAGGAAACUGGGGCUAAUACCGGAUAGGAGCUCCUGCUGCAUGGUGGGGGUUGGAAAGUUUCGGCGGUUGGGGAUGGACUCGCGGCUUAUCAGCUUGUUGGUGGGGUAGUGGCUUACCAAGGCUUUGACGGGUAGCCGGCCUGAGAGGGUGACCGGCCACAUUGGGACUGAGAUACGGCCCAG